rnacentral:rRNA from 1 species
AGAGUUUGAUCAUGGCUCAGAACGAACGCUGGCGGCAUGCCUAACACAUGCAAGUCGAACGCCCCGCAAGGGGAGUGGCGCACGGGUGAGUAACGCGUGGGAACCUGCCCUGGAGUUUGGGAUAACCCGGCGAAAGCCGGGCUAAUACCGGAUACGCCCCGAGGGGGAAAGAUUUAUCGCUCUAGGAGGGGCCCGCGUCGGAUUAGCUAGUUGGUGAGGUAACGGCGCACCAAGGCGACGAUCCGUAGCUGGUCUGAGAGGAUGAUCAGCCACACUGGGACUGAGACACGGCCCAGACUCCUACGGGAGGCAGCAGUGGGGAAUAUUGGACAAUGGGGGCAACCCUGAUCCAGCAAUGCCGCGUGAGUGAUGAAGGCCUUAGGGUUGUAAAGCUCUUUCGCCCACGACGAUGAUGACGGUAGUGGGAGAAGGAGCCCCGGCUAAUUUCGUGCCAGCAGCCGCGGUAAUACGAAGGGGGCGAGCGUUGUUCGGAAUUACUGGGCGUAAAGGGCGCGCAGGCGGCCCUUGAAGUCAGGCGUGAAAGCCCUGGGCUCAACCUGGGAAUUGCGCUUGAUACUCGAGGGCUUGAGUGCGGGAGAGGAGAGUGGAAUUCCCAGUGUAGAGGUGAAAUUCGUAGAUAUUGGGAAGAACACCGGUGGCGAAGGCGGCUCUCUGGACCGUAACUGACGCUGAGGCGCGAAAGCGUGGGGAGCAAACAGGAUUAGAUACCCCUGUAGUCC